AUCAGUGACCGCCCCACAUAGAAAGCACCAGUUCCCGUUAUAUUACCGAAUUAAUACAACGUCAAAUUGCGUUAGUACUUAAAUGGGUGACCGGUCGGGAAUACCAGAUGUUGCUGAUU
rnacentral:rRNA from 1 species